GACGAACGCUGGCGGCGUGCAUAAUACAUGCAAGUCGAACGCAGUGGGGACGGGUGCGUAACACGUGGGUAACCUCCCCAUUAGCGGGGAUAACACUUGGAAACAGGUGCUAAACCGAUACUGCUGGAUGGACCCGCGGUGCAUUAGCUAGUUGGUGUGGUAACGGCUCACCAAGGCCACGGUGAAUAGCAGACCUGAGAGGGUGAUCGGCCACAAUGGGACUGAGACACGGCCCAGGCUCCUGCGGGAGGCAGCAGUAGGGAAUAUUAGGCAAUGGACGAAAGUCUGGGCGAGCAAAGCCGCGUGAGUGAAGAAAGUUUACGGAUCGUAGCACUCUGUUGUGGGAUGAGCGGUAUCUAUCCAGAAGACCACGGCUAUAUACGUGCCAGCAGCCGCGGUGAUUC
rnacentral:rRNA from 1 species